UACGUAGGGGGCAAGCGUUGUCCGGAAUCAUUGGGCGUAAAGCGCGUGUAGGCGGCUCGGUAAGUCUGCUGUGAAAGUCCAGGGCUCAACCCUGGAAUGCCGGUGGAAACUGUCGAGCUAGAGUCCGGAAGAGGAGAGUGGAAUUCCCGGUGUAGCGGUGAAAUGCGCAGAUAUCGGGAAGAACACCCGUGGCUAAGGCGGCUCUCUAGUACGGUACUGACGCUGAGACGCGAAAGCGUGGGGAGCGAACAGG
rnacentral:rRNA from 1 species